rnacentral:lncRNA from 1 species
UGAAAUCAACUAAUAAUCAUUUCUAUAUUAGUUCCAUAAUGUUCAUUAGUAGUAAAUAAACUGCUGGCAAAAAAUUAAAAUACUAAUAAAUGGCAAAAUCUUUUGCCAGUUUAAUUUUGAUAUUAUCUAUCAGUUUGAUGUGUGUUUUCAGGUGUAGGUUGGGCUCUACUACACCUGAAAACAUGCCUAAAACUGAAACUGAAAGUUGUGCAACUUCUGGUUUGUACACUGUAUCUUUACUAGAAUCUCACCUGAAAAUACAGUAUAGUGGUACCUCGACUUACGAGUGUUUCGAGAUACGAGCUGUCUCUCUUGCUUUG